ensembl:rRNA 5S_rRNA 5S ribosomal RNA
GUCUACGGCCACAUCACCCUGAACAUGCCCAAUCUCAUCUGAUCUCAGAAGCCAAGCAGGGUCGGGACUAGUUAGUACUUGUAAAUGAAGACAUGAGCCAUAAAAA